rnacentral:rRNA from 1 species
UACGAAGGGGGCUAGCGUUGCUCGGAAUCACUGGGCGUAAAGCGCACGUAGGCGGCUUGUUAAGUCAGGGGUGAAAUCCUGGAGCUCAACUCCAGAACUGCCUUUGAUACUGGCGAGCUUGAGUCCGGGAGAGGUGAGUGGAACUGCGAGUGUAGAGGUGAAAUUCGUAGAUAUUCGCAAGAACACCAGUGGCGAAGGCGGCGCACUGGCCCGGUACUGACGCUGAGGUGCGAAAGCGUGGGGAGCAAACAGG